rnacentral:lncRNA from 13 species
AUGGCCAUAUCUCCAUGUUACAUCGCUUGUUUACAGAAAAAAAUAGGCAGCCAACCUGUGCUAAUUAGUUAUCUGACGUGCUCCGAACCCCUGUGUAUAAGCAUAACUGGUGAGUGUAGUUCGUCAGCUGGAGGCACACAGUAUGUGGAUCUGUGCAAAACUGCUAAGCUUUCAGCCAGCUGUAGACGUGGAAAGAUGCGGGGCAUAGACAUCCUGGAGAACUUUGAGAUCUACAUCCCCAAAGAGGCAGAGGUGAAAAUCACCUCUAUUCUGACUCUGCCAACCUCCAUCUUGAGAAGGAUGGGAGUGCCCCACUCUCAGGGUGGCAGUGCAAAGAGAGUUUCCUCGCCUUUGGCCACGUGGAUCUCGCCAGUGGUCAUCCGAGAGAGAGGCUGUUCACCGGCCAGCCCCACAGUGGAUACAGCCAAGAUUAACCUGACCUCAAUGGUGACCAAGGAACCCAAGGCAGCCCAGGGUCCCUUCUUGAUCCCAUUUGUCUCCUCCAGCUGCACGGCCUUCAAUGUCCUCAGGGAGUUCUUGCCCUCCAGACAGAACUUCCAGCAGGGUACUGCCACCCAGAUUGACCCACUCCCUCAUGGCCUGCCCCCUGUGCCCCACCAGGAUGCCAUCAUCAUCCACAAGGGGAGGAUCUUCCUGUCAAUCAAGAAAGCAAAGACUAUCAGAGGAAAGAGGCAGCACAGCCCUGACCUGAAUAACUUGUUGUCUUCCGAGGCCCCUCAGACCACACAGCAAGAACUGAUGUUCCUCUCACCUGCCAGGAAGAGCCAGAAGAAGUCCUGCCCCGCAUCUCCAAAGCCGUCUCCUAAAAAGCCCCAGGGGAAGUGGGCAUUGCUGCAGAGGUUCGGCCUGACCCACCAAGUCCAGGUGAAGUUGUCCAGAAUCCCCCAGGGGGACAUUGAGCCACAGCAGACUGCCGAACAGGGUCACUCAGCGGAAGAGGAUCAUAACACAGAGCAAGAUCAAGUCAUACGGAAGUUAUUGAACGCCAACAGGUUGUUAAAGGAGACACCUGGCAGAUGUCCUGAACAGGAGAUGGAGUUGGUGACUCAAGAGGAAAACAAGCCUUUGAAUGAGGAGACCCAAGAAUCAUUAUCAAAGACAGCAAAUCGGCACCCUUGCUCAAGCGAAGGCUUUCAGGGCAGAGGUGGGAUUACCAGUGAGACAGAUGAUGAUGCUGAGGAGGAGCCUGAGGAAGAGGGAUGUCACAAUUUGGGUAGUGUCAAACAACGACGAGUUGAGGACAAAGGUAAGAGUGGGGCAGAGGGCCAAGCCACCAAUGGGGAUGAGUCUGAGGUGGAAGAUCUCUCUGUUACGGCUGUUGCUUUGAGUGACAGCUUACCUCCACCAGAGGCCCUGAAUGCAGACCAAAGCAGUGAUACGGUUAUGCAAGUUGACUUCACGGGGGACAGUGUUCAGAGUUGGACGGCGGAGUGCCCAAUCAUACCCGCUCUAGCCACCACCCCCAAACAACACCAUGGUUUUGACUUUGAGCAUUCGGCCCGUGAGGAGAGGAUCAACCGUAUCAGGGCCAAAUUGAGAGAGAGCGAGGCUGCCCUCAACAACCUGCGCUCUCCAAGUUGA